GAUGAACGCUGACAGAAUGCUUAACACAUGCAAGUCUACUUGAAUUUGGGUUUUUAACUUAGGUUUGGGUGGCGGACGGGUGAGUAACGCGUAAAGAACUUGCCUCACAGCUAGGGACAACAUUUAGAAAUGAAUGCUAAUACCUAAUAUUAUGAUAAUAGGGCAUCCUAUAAUUAUGAAAGCUAUAUGCGCUGUGAGAGAGCUUUGCGUCCUAUUAGCUAGUUGGUAAGGUAAAGGCUUACCAAGGCGAUGAUAGGUAGCCGGCCUGAGAGGGUGGACGGCCACAAGGGGACUGAGAUACGGCCCUUACUCCUACGGGAGGCAGCAGUGGGGAAUAUUGGACAAUGGAGGAAACUCUGAUCCAGCAAUUCUGUGUGUGUGAAGAAGGUCUUCGGAUUGUAAAACACUUUUAGUUGGGAAGAAACAAAUGACGGUACCUAC
rnacentral:rRNA from 1 species